AAGAAAUGUAAGAGAACUGCAACAAACUAGUUUUUCAGGAGAGGCUGAAAGGGUGAAAUGAACAGUGAGUUUGUGCCUAGAGAGGUCCAGAAAUGUGAAGGCUCUCCAGGUUCCAUCCUGUCCCGCCUCCUUCUUGUUAAAAAAACAACCACUUGUCUUUGCAUUUUCCAACCUGUGAGCAGUUGUGGCUUGCAGUUUGCAAGGCAGGAGGUUUUUCAAUGGAAAUCCUGCAAGAAGAGGGUGAGUUCAAGGAAGAGAAAGGAAGCCUUGACUGUAUAGAAGAAGCGAAAACCCGUUGCUGGUGGGGAAAAGGCAGGAACAGGGCUGCAGAUCCAGUGCUCAGCUGCAAAGGAGGAGAGAGUACCUUCCUUUUAGUUGUAUGUGGAGGAAGGGGAUUUUGAUGUACCCUGAUGAGGCCUCUCUCGAGGCUCGAAUUCAAGGAAAAAGCCACGUCUCAGCUGCAUCAAGUGAUGAAUAUCAAGUGUAUGUGAAUUAGCCUUUAAUAUUGCUUGCUGUUGGGGACGUGGGGGGGGGCGCACAUUCUUUUCAUUUGGUCGGCCAGUUGGAUGAUCUCCAAAAAGGAAUCCAUAGGCUCUGUGGAUCUUUUUGGAUCUUUCGAGUCUUGGUGGUUUUUGAUAUCAUUGAUCAUGGUAUCCUCCUGGAGCGCCUGAAGCGGGUUGGGAGUGGGAGGCACCGCUUGGCAGUGGCUCUGUUCCUACCUCUCUUGUAGGUUCCAGAUGGUGUUGCUUGGAGAUUGUUGCUCUUCAAAAGAAAAGCUAUUGUUUGGGGUUCCGCAGGACUCCAUUCAAUCUCCAAUGCUCUUUAACAUCUACAUGAAAGUGCGGGGAGAGAUCAUGGGGGAUUUGGUGCAGGGUGUUAUCCAUAUGCUGCUGAUAACCAAAUCUAUUUCUCCAUGUCAACUUCAUUAGGAAAUAGCCUAUCUUCCCUAAAUGCUUACUUGGAGUCAGUAAUGGGCUGCAUGAGGAAAAACAAACUGAGGUUGAAUACAAGGAAGAUGACUGGAAGAUAGGAAGUGGCUUAGAUCUGUCUGUUCUGGAAGGGGUUACACUCCCCCAGAAAGAGUAGAGUUUUCCAGCCAAUUAAAAAUGAAGACCUUUCUAAGCCAAUGCACACACUGGAGCAGCUCUUCACUCCAACCCUGAUAUCUCAACUGCCUUCAAUAAAAAAAAAUCUCAGUCAUCGACUCUGAUUCCAAAAAAGGUGUUUUCUACCUAAGCCUGAACAGGGACUUCCAGUCCAAGACAUGGAUGAUUAUGAACUCAACAGAGCCUCCAGAGACUGCUCCGCUCCCAAAAAAGGGAGACCAGAGAAGCCACACCAACAUCACCCUUCAAUCCUGAACAUGAGGUAGAUCAUGAUCUGCUUCACUUGGAAGGCGAUACCAUCAACCCUAGCUGCUCUCCUCAACACUGACCUCCUCCGGACUGAAGAGCCUCUCCUAUACGAUACUGACGAUACAGAAGAGAGUCUACAUGAUACCAAUACUCUCCGGGUGUCAGAGAAUCUCCUUGCCGUCGGUACUCUCCAAAACACUCAUCGGAUUGGGUAUAUUGUGACUGAGAAAGUUGACAUUGAGAUGACUCUACAUCUGAUCAUGCCUGAUCAUUACGCUUACUUCUUCGACAACAGAUAUGGCAUUGAUCAUAGGAAAAACUAUCUCCAGUCUUGCUCUUGGGCUUCACAUCAACACCAAUCUCUGGGGAGAUUGGACCAUCCAGACUCUUGGUCCCGAUCACACUCUCCUCAACACUGCAGUACUUGGUCUCAGUCAAGAGAGAAGAGAACUCAACCAUGUAAGCAGCCGGAUGUUGACUCUCUACCACCGGAUUCCUUGACUGAAGAAUCUGCCUCAGAGGAAGAUGCAGAAACAUCCCUGAACAUUGCAUCAGGUUCCACACCUUCAGAUCUAAUGGGAGAUCCAAAGCCUCUGUCUCCAUCAGAGUACCUGAAGCUCUUCACUGACCAAGUGGUCCAUAUGGCUAACUCUUUAGGUAUCCAGAUGAACAAACCUCCUAAAUCUUCUCCUGAUCCCAUUUUUGGGCCAAUUGAUGCGGACACUUGGCACUCUAACUUCCUACCACUGAACUCUGCUUGAAUGGACAUUGUCAAAGCUUGCUGGGGGAAACCUGCAUCGUUGCCACCUACUUCUAGGAAGCUGGAAGGUUUUUACAAGUUUCAAGCUAGGGACAGUCAGUUCCUUCUGCACCAUCCUACUCCUAACUCCAUGACAGUUGAAACUGCUCAGUUCCAAUCCAAGAACAGAAUCCUUUUGGCGCUGACAGUAUGAUUCAGUCAAUAUCUGUUGUGGUAGCUCUGCACCAGCACACGUGGAUGUGUUCAACUAGCUUGGCACCUGAAACAAGAACAAGAAUAGUGUCGUGGGCAUGCUGGAAGAGUCCGAGGAGGAGUUGGAAGUGGAGACAGAGCUGAGAGCAGAGGAGGGUGGGCAAGGACCAGAAGUUGCAAAGGAGAGUGGGUGUGACGCACAAGGAGUCAAAGAUGAGUUAGAGCUGGGUGAGGCAGCUCUUGUGGAGGAGGCAUGUCCAGUCUCAGCUGUGGAGAGGCGCCGGACCACGAGACAGCAAGAGUUAAGGAGCCGCGUGCGUAGAAGAACAGGCAAAGCUGCUGACUCAGCAACUCUUAAUUCACAGCACUGGGGGUCAGCCUACAUAAGAUGCUACCCUGCUGAUAGCAACAAGAGUUUCCUGCGAACUAAUCGGCUGUGUUUGUGUAUUAUUUGGACUGUGUUUGGAGCCUGCACUGUGUUGACCUUGCCUGUGGAUUUGGCUUUGGACUCUGUUGGAUUGAUUCGGACUGGACCUGGUUUGGAGAAUGGAUUCCUGUUAGAUUUCGCUCUUCUGCUUCUGCCUCUGUUGUGCUUCGUCUGGCUAGCCUGACAGAUUUACGACAAAGAGAGAACUUGCCUCUUGAUGGCCAGGCCCUUGUUGGAAAGGAUACAAAACGGAAAGGAUACACAAACUGAGAAAGACAGGGAAUUCUAUGAACUCUCAGCAAGCUGCCUACAAUUUUUCAAGGGGUAACAAAUAUUCCUGCUCUUCUUCUGCAACAUCAUUUUGUCCUUCCAACUACUCUCCCUCUGCCGAUCAUUCCCUUCAUCCUUCUCAGAUCUCCCAGUUUCAAAAAAGACAGGACUCAUUGGGGAAAGCCCAACAUCCCAAAUCUAAACCAUCAGUAUAUCACCAAUCUAAACCAUCGAUGUACAGCUCAUGACUCAAGGAUCUGCAAAUAUUCUUCCUUACAGCAAUGAUGUGGACUUGGGGUUUUUUUGUUCAGGACUACACAACCGAUAUUUCCCCAGUAUUUCAGAAGGCAGGAUUACUACUAAAGCACAAGUUUGGCAAGACUGGUGGAUAGUAUACAACUGCUUGUCUGUAGUCUUUUGCUCCUCUUGGGGAACCCCUCCUUUCAAAGUGUCUGCAAUACAAAUUGACCACAAAAUGUGACAGGGAGAAUGUUUUGUGCCCUCCUCCUCCUCACACAACAUUGAUGUGCACAGAUACCUCAGAAGCCCUAUUCAGACAUUAUGUUGUACUAGUUCAAGAUCUCUGUACACUUGUAGAUGGUUUUCUGUGAAUGACUGUAUGGGGUUCAUUUUUAAAGGGAACCUGGGUACUGGACCCUCAAAUGUAUGAUACAGAUAGGAAGUGUACUGCUGUCCCUGUGUCCAAUGUAACAUGUCUAUCACUCUAACUGUACACAGAUCUUUACCUGCGUACACUGUACCCUCAUUGUACAGAUAUUGAACAUAACAUACGAAUCAAGCUACUGAGUUCUCAACCUUCUGUUGAACUGUAGCAUGCUAAGAAGCAGAAUCCAUGAUGGGGCCAUGCGGAUAGGAGCAGGCUUGGUUUUGGUUUAGCUGUCACCCCACUGACGUGCCUGAGUGCACCUCCUCACUUCCCCCCAUAUCAGUGCACCAUUUCUGUCCACUCCAAUGGGCAAACGUACAGUGCUGGACUUGGAAAGGCGAUUGCUCUGAAGGGGAAAUGUCCCUUCUAUCCAGAUGCUUCGUGUCCCAGCCCUCAGUGACAUGGAUGCAUCUGUUAUCAAGCUCAGGGUCUUGUUAGUCUCUAAUCUUGUGCUUGUUUUGUGCCUGAGUCGUCUCCUCAGGCACAAAACGAGUACUGGUGAAUGUUGAUGCUGGGGGUCUCAACAAAUUCAAUGGCAUGAGCAUUCUUAUAUACAACAAACACUAGAGAAAAAGCAAUGUUCUUUCAAGCCUGAUUCUUCACGUUGACUGUAAAAGGUUUCCGGGCCAAAUACAAAGUGCUGGUUAUAACCUAUAAAGCCCUAAACAGCUUAGGCCUACGGUAUUUAAGAGAGCGUCUUCUUCUGCAUGAUCCCCAUCAUCCACUACGUUCAUCAGGGGAGGCUCGUCUGUGGCUACCUUCAUGUCGUUUGGUGGCCACCCGGGGACGGGCCUUCUCUGUUGUCACCCCGAGACUUUGGAAUGCACUUCCUGUGGGAAUAAGAGUCUCCCCAUCUCUAGUGGCUUUUUAAAGGGGUCUAAAGACUUAUCUUUUUACCCAAGCUUUUUAACUUUUUAAAACUUUUGAUUGUUAUUAUUUAUUUUAAAUUGUUUUCAGUAUUUGUUUGUUGUGAACCUGAGACCUUGGGUUAGGGCGGUAUAAAAAUGUGCUAAAUAAAUCAAUAAAUAAUAAAAUGGAUUCCCUUUCAAUAUGAUCUUAAUCCGGUAGGUGCUGCAAUUCUGUGGGUCGGUGGCUCAGCUCUACUGUCAUGUGGAAAGGCCUGCCGCCCGCUGGACAAAGCAGGUCCAGGUGGGCAGUUCCCUGAUGCAAAAUGGCUGCCUGACUGAGAUUGGGGGCAACAGGUUUGUGUGAAGCUGCUGUGCAAUGAGCCCUGCCCAUUGGUUGUGGGCCUUUCAUUACAUUAGCAGCACCAUGGGAUGGACCCCAGGGAAAACAGGUUUCUUCCAUGUUUUAAAGGUCAUGUUUAAAAGGGGCAGGAGUUAAGUUGUAUGUUCCGUCUGGUAGGUGGGCUCAGCAGCAACUGGAGCUACAUCAUCAUCACCAUCAUCAUCAUCAUCAUCCAAUAUCCAGUAAUCCAAUUCAUGAUGGUCUUGUCUAUAUGCAUUUGAGUAUAAAAAUGUCCAUAAAGUAUAUUGGAAAAUGAAUCCAAUCUAUACCUGGGGCUAACUUAGAAAUAGCUGGCUAUUUCCAGUGGAGAGAUAAAAUGUACCAGCAAGUACUGAGGUCCUAUCUGAAACAUCCAUGUUUGGGGCUACAAACCUCAAAAGGAACGGAGGGAGACAGGCAAAGCUGUGAUGAAAUCCAACUUACAUUGCAAAGAAGUCUUUCCUCAUCUUCUCCCCCAUUUCCCUCCCUGUCUAACUCUUCCCCCCUGACUAACUAUCCCUCCUGUUACUAAAAGCUGACUGUCCCUCCCUCCCCCCAGACCCCUCCCAAAACCACCCCAAACAAACAAACAACAAACAACAAUAUAACACUAACACUAACUGUAACACUGAAUAGAUAAAUAAAUUGAUAAAUAAAUGGAUGGA